GACGAACGCUGGCGGCGUGCUUAACACAUGCAAGUCGAACGGUGAAGCGCCUUCUUUUUUGGUGGGUGUGGAUGAGAGGCGAACGGGUGAGUAACACGUGAGUAACCUGCACCUUCUUCUGGAUAACCGCAUGAAAGUGUGGCUAAUACGGGAUAUUCUGGGUCUGUGGCAUGAUGGGUCUGGGAAAGAUAUUGUUGCGGUGGGGGAUGGGCUAGCGGCUUAUCAGCUUGUUGGUGGGGUGAUGGCCUAACAAGGCGGUGACGGGUAGCCGGCAUGGGAGGGUGGACGGCCUCACUGGGCCUGAGACACGGCCCGGACUCCUACAGGGGCCAGCAGUGUGGAGUAUUGCACAGUGGGGACUAGCCUGAUGCGGCGACGCCGCUUGUGGGAUGGAGGCCUGCGGGUUAUGAACCUCUUUCGCCUGUGAAGCAGUCCUGCCUCGUUUGUGGCUGGGUUGACGGUACCUGGAUAAGAAGCGCCGGCUAACUACGUG
rnacentral:rRNA from 1 species